AGGGCAGAUGGUGAGGAUUUGGGGGGAAAGCUGAGGUAACUUGGAAAGGAGAGGAGGCGCAUAUUUGAGGGAAAAGCUGAGGUAAAAUCAAGGCAACAUGGCAAGAAUUCUGCAGGGGGGACAGGAUGAUCUUCUUGGAGGGAAAGCUGAGGUAACAUUGAGACAGGCAAGGAUUUUGUCGGGAAAAGAUGGGGUAGCUCAGAGGGGAGAGGGUAGGUGCUUUGGGGGGAAAAUCUGAGGUAACUUGGAGGGGAGAGGAGGAGCCUUUUGGGGGGAAAAUCUGAGGUGACUUGGAGGGCAGAUGGCGAGGAUUUGGGCAGGAAAAUCUGAGGUAACUUGGAGGGGAGAGGGUAGAAAGAGAAGAGAAGAAACAUGGUAUCCCAUGAGGGACAAAAUGAUGUUUCAAGAUAUUGAAAGUAGCAGAAAAGAUGCAACUUUUAUCAGGACAGGUUGAGUGAGCACUGUUGGUUUCUGUGGUGCUUUUUUGCUCCUGGUACUAAGAUGCAAUAGGGAUGAAGGGAGGGUCGUGGAGCAGGAUUUCCAAGUGAUCACACGCACAAAAAAGGCAUCCUCAUCCUCAUAGGGAUGGAUAUAUUAUAAAAGCUGAGUCAUGGUGUUUUCCUUUCUUUAGAGCUUGGCAGCCGAAGCUUGAAACCAAAAUUCCUGGACACCAUCUCUCCUGGAGGAAGGCAGAUGAGAAGCAGUUGCUGCUGCUCCCGGAGAGGAAAGACUUCUUGAAGAACUUCAUGAAGAACUGCGAGUCAAGAGUGAGCACGAAGAGAAGAGGAGGAAGACGGAAGAGGAGGGAGGAGAAAGGCACUCUGGGCAAAGGGACCACCCUGGAAGCAGGGCAGCGGUCACCGUGUGCACGGAGGAGGCAGCAGGAGGACCUGAGCCUGGGGCGUCGCAGUCUCCUCUUGUCCUGGAGCAGCUUCUGGAUCUCCCUUUUCCCCAGUUACUGAAUAAAAUGCUUUGUCAAACUGUAGGUUACCCCCGGGGCCCCUGUCACCCCCAACUCUGCUUUAACUCGUGCCAGGAAAAUUGCACUGCACAGGCGGUCUUCACUUUGCCCCGGCUGUUGGAGGUUUUGCUGUUGUGAGGCUAGUGUGUGCUUGUCCUCGGUGGUUGCAAGGGGCAGACCUCAGUGACUGUUGCCGCUUCCAGGUAGGAGUGUGGUGAUAGUGCAGGGUUGUUGUGGAGGUGUUGUGGUAGGAGUGCGGUGGCACUGCAGGGGUGUUGUGGUAGGAGUGUGGUGGUAGUGCAGGGGUGUUGUGGAGGUGUUGUAGGAGUGCGGUGGCACUGCAGGGGUGUUGUGGAGCUGUUGUGGUAGGAGUGCGGUGGUACUGCAGUGCUGUAGGAGGAUUUAUUUUGGCUUGUCGAUGGCCUGUAGCACCUGCCGCAGGACGCGGUGUUUGGUGUGAGGGGAUGAAAAGGCRAGAGCUGUAGCCGCCUGUUGGGUGUAGAGUUGGGGCCAGAGGSGAGGUCGCCUGUGCGGUGCAAUUGGACAGGGGUGCGGAGUUGGUCUGAGUUGGGUUUUGAAAGGGGCCCGGCMCCAAGCCCCCUCCCUGGCUCCUUCUGCCCUGCCCCUGGGCCCCUUUUACCCCAGUUGUGUUGUUUCUGUUGUCUGUGACUGAACAAAAAACCUGUGUGUUCACUCUGCUUCAUAAGCGGCAGUUUCUUUGAGGGCAAUUGACUGGGGCGGGGGGUGGCUCUGGGGACGUGGCUCUUGGUGUGGGGUGGGAUGAU
rnacentral:lncRNA from 1 species